UAGGGCAGGAGAGCUGAGGCACACCCCAGGCUGCGCUCAUGGUGGCCAAGUUCCCUCUCUGCAGCAUCUCUAAAGACCCUUGCUUACCCAGCUGAGAUGCCAUGCCCAGUGCAUCUUUAACUGUAUCAGGAUUUGAGGGUCAAACGUGGUGAGUUUCUCUUGGUACAACUGUGAGAAAACUUCCAACACAAAGGGAAGACACCAAAAGCAAGGACAUCAGAGCUCUCCAAGGCCUCUGAGAGCCAGACUCUGGGCCACAAGUCUGCAGAAGACCCUGUGUGGACUUUUGUGGUAGAGGCCACAGGGCCCUUGCCUGUCAUCAGAGAAAACAGGUAGUGCACUGAGGAAUGGAGUGCCCACACAUGCAAGUCACGGAAACCAAUACAAAGUGUCUCCAAUAAGAACGCUGCAUGAUACCUAGUCUCUUUAUUCCCA